GACGAACGCUGGCGGCGUGCCUAACACAUGCAAGUUGAGCGACGAACCAGGGCUUGCCCUGGGGCAAAGCAGCGAACGGGUGAGUAACACGUGGGUAACCUACCCCGAUAACCGGGACAACCCGAGGAAACUCGGGCUAAUACCGGAUGUGCUCACUGGACUUCGGUUCAGUGCGUGAAGGAAGCUUCGGCCUCCGUAUCGGGAGGGGCCCGCGGCCCAUUAGUUUGUUGGUGAGGUAACGGCUCACCAAGACCGCGAUGGGUAGCUGGUCUGAGAGGACGAUCAGCCACACUGGGACUGAGACACGGCCCAGACUCCUACGGGAGGCAGCAGUGGGGAAUCUUGCGCAAUGCGCGAAAGCGUGACGCAGCAACGCCGCGUGGGGGAAGAAGGCCUUCGGGUUGUAAACCUCUUUCAGGAGGGACGAAGGUUCGGCGGUGAAUAGCCGUCCGGACUGACGGUACCUCCACAAGAAGCCCCGGCUAACUACGUG
rnacentral:rRNA from 1 species